rnacentral:rRNA from 1 species
CAUAAGCUAGCUUGACUGCGAGAGUGACGGCUCGAGCAGGUGCGAAAGCAGGUCUUAGUGAUCCGGUGGUUCUGAAUGGAAGGGCCAUCGCUCAACGGAUAAAAGGUACUCCGGGGAUAACAGGCUGAUACCGCCCAAGAGUUCAUAUCGACGGCGGUGUUUGGCACCUCGAUGUCGGCUCAUCACAUCCUGGGGCUGAAGUAGGUCCCAAGGGUAUGGCUGUUCGCCAUUUAAAGUGGUACGCGAGCUGGGUUUAGAACGUCGUGAGACAGUUCGGUCCCUAUCUGCCGUGGGCGCUGGAGAAUUGAGGGGGGCUGCUCCUAGUACGAGAGGACCGGAGUGGACGCAUCACUGGUGUUCGGGUUGUCAUGCCAAUGGCAUUGCCCGGUAGCUAAAUGCGGAAGAGAUAAGUGCUGAAAGCAUCUAAGCACGAAACUUGCCCCG